UGUUCAUAAACAAAUUUUGAUGGAAAGAGGGUUUAGAGAACAAGAGUUGUGGUUUGUAGUUUGGAAUCUAACCCUUCUUAACUCAGGUAGUUUUGCUACAGAGCUCAACGCUUCUUAACAUGGGAACUGAAACUAACAAAGAUGACCGUAACAAUCCCGAGUACCUAGCCCAGUUACUAAAAGAUAAGAAACAGAUUCAGGCUCUGCCAAACAUAUUCGUUCAUGUGGAAAAACUUUUAGACGAAGAGAUUAACAGAGUUAGGAUAGCAUUGUUCCACAAUCCUGGACUGGAAUUGAAGCUUCCAGAGCCCCAAGGACCACCUGUCACGCUUUCUGAAAAGAUCUAUGUUCCUGUCAAAGACCACCCAGAAUUCAACUUUGUUGGGCGGAUAUUGGGACCCAGAGGUAUGACUGCCAAAGAACUAGAAACACAGACAGGAUGCAAGAUCAUGGUUCGGGGCAAAGGCUCAAUGAGGGAUAAAGUAAAGGUCAGCAGGUUUUGUGUAAAGGAGGAGCAGAAUCGUGGCAAGGCAAACUGGGAGCACUUGAAUGAGGAUUUGCAUGUGCUAAUCACAGUUGAGGAUUCAAGAAAUCGUGCAGAAGCCAAGCUAGCCAAAGCUGUACAGGAAGUCAAAAAGCUCCUCGUACCUGCUCCUGACGGUGAGGAUGAUUUAAAGAAACGGCAACUUAUGGAGUUAGCCAUUAUAAAUGGAACUUAUCGUGAUACCACAAAACCCUCCGCCACUGUUUCGCAACCAUCUGCAUCAAGUCAUGCCCAGAGGUUCCUGGCACAACCACUUCAAUUACCUAUGCGCACAGCCACACCAUCACCAGCAGGAGCUCCCAUCAUUCUGGCUCCACGCCUGCCCCAUGGACUUAUGAGCACCACACAAAGCAUCAUGAACAGUGCCCCACCACCACUUGUCUCUCCAACAGGUGAAAGUGGGCUGAUGUACAACCCGUAUGAACACCCCUACCCAUAUGGAUUGGCAGCACCAACAAUUCUGGAAUACCCUGCUCACAUUGAUCCUACUGCUGGCGUUUUUCAGAAUCAGCUGCCUCAAAAUAGUCUGUCAUUCAGUGGUUUGAACACAUUUUAUUCAGGUAUUUUGCCCGUCUUUAAAGAAAAACCUCUGUUUCAGUCAGCAUAUCAUAUGCAUAUUUUAAUUUUUGUAGGUUUCUUUUCUUAGUGUUUUUUGUAUCUAGAUCAAUUUGUUGAUAUGUGCAUUUUAUUGUUAUCAUGGUUUUAGCAAGGAGUCCUUAGUGUGGUUACAGAUAUGCAUGCAGCAGCAGUCCUCAGUACCUGUAUCCCUGCACACAUGCAUUAAGUUUUGCGGCUUUUCAUUGUAGAUAUGUCAUCAGCUGUUAAUAUUGAUUAAGAACUUGUAAUUUCUCCUUUAUUUUACCACAACGACAAACCCGGCCGAGUCUUUACAAACAGUGUAAAAAUACAGUAUGUAGAAAGGGAAUGGUGUGACUAUAAUUGUUACAAAACAAGCAAACGCUGAGUCAAGUUAUGCUCAGAUUAAAAAUCUCCAAGGUGCAAAUAAUUUUCUUGGAAAAAAAGCUUUGUUCAGAAUAGGUCUCGGUGAAGUUUACUGUUGUUGUUUUGUUUUUGUUUUUUUUUUUUCAAUUCCUCAAUCUUUUUAUUAUCCACUUGGCCACUUUUGCUUUCAGAGGCUAUGCUGCGUGCUUUGUUUUCUUUGCAUGACAUUUUAAAAGAUUGCAUGCUUUUGACUGCGAACUCCAUCAGUCAUAGAAGAAAUGAUAGAUAAGGCCUGACUGGGGCAUAAGAGAUUCUGUGUAGUUUGUGCUGCUGUGUCUGCCAUCUGUUUUGUUUUGUUGGUUUUUUUUUUUUUCCCCAAGAGUGAUCAGGUCAGAGUGCCAAAGAUUAAGUUUUUUUUUCAAGUAAAAUAUUAUGAACGUUUUUUUUUUUCUUUUGAUGCUUCUAACUGUUGUUUAUUGAGACUUGACCUGUUUUAGGUGGAGUGCCGAAAAUCAGGCGUUCUAUAGCUGGCAUUAGAGACCACCCUUACACAAGGGUUACACUCUCCUAAUUAACACAGCUGGCAACUAACCUUGGUCGCACCCCUGUGCCUUUAAAGAGAUGGGCUUGGCUGGCGGCCUCUGCGCCCCUUCGGUGUUUCUCACUCGCCUCUUCACACCACGUACUCAGUAUUACUGAAGCUGGGAGCCCGAGCUCGAUGCCUACGCCACUAACUGCCCUAGUGAGGAUGUGAUAUUAACUCACGGGACAAUGACUUGUCAUGACCACCUCACCGCUCACUCCAUGCAGAGGGGCAGCCAGUUAAGUGCCUCUGUACCAUCCAAAAAAGAAAAAAAAAACUAAUGACUCCACUAACGAGGUUUUUGUGAAGAAGAGCAGAUUGUGCACUGGUUAGAGUGGAGACCAGGCAAAAAUGUGUAUCCAUGUGUGGAUAUUUUUAACUUUCCCUUUCCCCCACUUCCUUUCAAGACAUUGGCUCAGUGUAGGUGUCCACCAUUGCAUGCAUUCAACGAAUUUGUUAACAUGCUAUGCUUUUAUGUUUGUGUCUUUUUUUCCUCCAUAUUUUUGUCCAGUCGGAUUUUCCCUGCUGUUUUUAUAGUCGUUCAUGGCUCCUUAGUUAAAGUGGUAUGAUCAUGCAUAUUUUUGAGGUAUACAAAAGGUUAAACAAAAUUUGCAAAAUUUGACUUGGAUCGACUUUGAAAAUAGCAGUUGCUUUGGUGGUCACCUGUACUUGUCAUUAUAUGUUUGUGUGUACCUGCAGAUGAGUUAACACUUCUGUGCUCGUUGUCUUAUUUUUUUGAAUGGUCAAUAAUGUGGAAUACAAAUGGCAAACGCCUAUUUGAAUAUUGUAAGAAAUCAUUGAUGAACCCCAACAAUAUGGUGUGUGAAAUCAUGUGCCUACUCUAUUCACCUUUUUUUAUUUUUAUUUUUUAUAUAUAAUUUUUUUGUAAGUACACGUUAAAAAUCUUUUGCUGAAUAUUACAUAUGUGCAAGACUUUUUAAAUUUCUUAAUUUCGUUUGUAGCGUAGACUUCAUAGAUGAUGGUUUUGUUGGUAUUUUUGUGUAAAAAUGUAGCAGAAACAUGCAGAGAAAAACAAAAUACAUCUUGAAAAGAAAAUUAUUUACACUUUGUACAAAAUGUUUCAUGAUAAUAAUACUCGUUAAUUUGCAACCAAGUUUGCAAUACUUUAUUUGUAGUUAUAUUGUACAUUCAGUACAGUGAUAGGUCACAGAAGACAGUCUGCUGCUGAAAAAUGACUGUAAAACAUAUCGAUAUCCUUGGUGGCCCCUUCCCUAACCCCUUUUCUUUACCUUUUUUAAAAAUUACUUUGGCAAUACAAUCUCAGUAUUUGAAAGUACAGAGAAUCUCAGCUUUGAACAAGGUUUCUUUUAAGAACCAUAUCAGUAAUAUCUAUGCAAAAUAUAUCACUUUAUGCUGAAAUAAGAACAUUCAUAUCUUUUUUCCCUUGGGAAAUGUUUUUUUAGAUACAGAUACUUUGGUGUGGGAAUGUAAUAUAUGCAAGAGGUUUAGUAUGUGUACAUAUGAACAAAAUGAUCUUGCGCAUUCUUUGAAACAUACUCAUCAGCUUAUAUUUGGUGACAUUUUCCAUUUGUUUUUCAGUGUAUGUGUACUUUUUUCCUACUUGGAAUAGUGUUUAUUUCAUUAUUUCAUUGAUACCUUGAAUGUUGAUAGGGACAGAAAAAGUGAGAUUUCACCUUAAAACUUUUUCAGUUAAGGGAAAAACUAGAUUAAGGUGCUGUCUGAAACUGCAGUUUCUUACCUGAGUUUUGUGUGGUGUUGAGGAACCAGUUCCUAUCAAGUGCAUGGCCUUUACUGUUCUGAUAUUACAUGUCUGCUUCCUCAUUCACCUUCUCUUGUCUCAUUCAUUAAUAAGCAUCUGUUUAGUGACUUGAAGGUUGGCUUAAAACUGAAGAUAAAAUUUCAGUUUUAUAUGGUCCUUAGUUUUUUCUGUCACCAGGUUCUCAUAGUUUGCUUUGUGUAGAGUAUACCCUUUUUAUUCUUGUAAAAGAGAUUGUCAGUAAUGAGAAAUCACAUGCUGACUCAGACAGUGUGCACUCGUUAAUUUGUCUGACAAAGGUGUGAAUUGCUGAAAGAGUUUGUGACCUAUCUGUAGGCGAAAAAAAAGGCUAUCCACACAAAUUAAAAAAACUGUUGAUCUGGUAUCUUUGGAGUCUUUUUAGUUUCCACCAAAACUUGGUAUGGCUCAGCUUCAUACAUUUCUUGUGCUUAUGUCAUGUACUUAAACUUUGUACAAAGCUGGUCACAGUAGUGUCAUAUCAUUAGUGGAUACUCCAGUUUUUACCCUUUAGAUGGUUGGGAUUGGAGUCAACAAGUAUGCUUCCUUUAAAGUGUAACAUAAGAUUGAGAAGAAUGUCAUUUGUUCAUGCUUAUUUUUGAGACCCGUGUCAGUUCUUCCUAUUUGCAAGCUUGAUGUUCUAGGGGAGCAUCAGAAUUAUGAGAAUGUUUGCCUUGUGUAUCUCAUCCAGAAGCAAUACUCUUUCAAAAGUUCAUCGGAUUGUGUAAUUUACUCAUAGAAUCUAUUCAAGGUGUUCGGCUGGUGGUAGUGCUGUAGAUUUUACUACUUGUGUAGAGAUCAGUAGACACAUUAAGAGAGGAAAACAGUCUCUGCUUCUUGUUCAGUGGUAGAAAAUUGUUAGAAGAGCAAAAUAGAGAUGGUAGACUAAUAAUUCACAAAGAUCUAUGAAAAAAGGUUUAUCUUGCUUACUAGGUUGGAGUAUUUCACUGUCUUUAUUUUAUUAAAUUGUUUUACAAAUUAAAGCAGAUUACAACCUUAUAUUUACUGCCCAUGGCAUCUCCAAGCAGCUUAUCCUGUUGCUGCACCAUCUUUAUACAGUGUUAAAUUCAUUACAGCACUAUUGCCAGCAUUACCCAUGCAUUUUCCUUCGUAUUUUGGGGAUAGUUUAUUAAUUACCUGCACAUGAGCCAUUGUUGGGAAUUUUAGCCUGUUGACAUACUCAUGUUUUGUGAUUGUUUGCUGUUCAUGUUCACAACGAAUUACGAUAACCCUAUAUAGUUUUACUGACUGCUGCAGCUAAUGUUGUUAGAUUUCAAGCAAAGCAUUUUGUAACUCACAGUUGUUAACCUCUUACAUGCUGUUAACUUAUGUGUUGGUGACUGUUGUUGAUACUUAACACUAUUGCACCUGUUAAUAAGUUAAUAGCUAGGAAACUUUAGGUUAACAGAUUUUGGUUUCGUUAAUGGCUAUCUUUUCACAAAGCAGGUGGUGUUAAGAUUGACUGCUGACUGCAGGAAUAUAUUUAUAGCUCCAUUGACAAAACUUAGUGGCUUACAGCUACCAGCUAUAAUUUUUAAAUUGCUUUUUGUUUUUGUUUUUUUGUUUUUUUCAGACUGCAUUUUUUUAAAAGAAAGGUCAAACAGAUCAAAAACAAUUUUACAGGGUGAUAGCCCACCAUGGUACUUAACACUGGUACAAUGUAUAAAUUUAUAUAGUGAUAUCCCACCAUGUUACUUAAGACUGCUGUGAUUGAAAAAAGGUUAUAUGACAGUAACAAACUUGUGCUGUCAGUGACUUGCAUAACCAAGAAAAAUGUCACACAUGCUGCAACACCAUAGCAUGAAGGGUUGCAUCAUUGCUGAAAUAAGGCCCAAGAAUCAAACGAACUCAACAAUUUAAGAUAUUUCUCAUUUGGUUUCUCCGUCCCCAUAGGUUGUGCAGAUUUUGUUGUAUGGUUUAUUAUGGCUUAUUGUUGAUGUAAUUUGCUAUCAAAAGGUUUUACACUACAAAGCAGUAGUAUUAAGAAGUUUAUAAGCCAAUGUCAUCGCCCUACCCCUCCUUACCACCUCCCUUUCUUCCAAACCUCUCCCCUCAGUAUUGGGUCAGUAGCCCUAUUCUGUAACCUGCAAGUGCCUUAUUACUUAAUCUUGAUGUUACCGCAUGCCCUCCAAACCCAGGGUUAACUGGUAAGAAUAUCACAAAAGUAUAUUUUUGUAUGUUACCUUAUUUUGACUGCUGUCUUAAAUGCAAGAUACCUUGAGGAAAAAAGAGGUUCUGUACAGUGAGAAAAACAUUUUUGAGAGGGAAAAUUUGAAAAUCUAUUAACUGCUUGUGCAACAGUUAUUAUGCAUAAUAUUCUGCCUCUUGCUCUCACAUUAUUCUGUCCUUUUUAUUUGAAAAGAUUUCUUAAUGAUCUAAAUCCAUAUUUCCACCAAGUGCUGAAAUUCUACUUGUAUAGCUUCUCUUUCUAACUUGGUUCUAGGGAAUUUUCUUUUUGACAUUUGAAUGAAUCCUGCUCCCUUCAUUUUUACCUUACUUGGUAAGUUCAGCCAAAGUUGUGUGGACAUAGACGUACACAUGACUUCAGCAGAGAUUGCUGCUUUCUGAAUCUUGGUGUCGCUUCCUCUCACCCCUUUCUGUGACUAUGGUUUACUAAUAUAGCAAGCGAAGACGAGCAUUUUCCUGCAUAUUAAUCACAUUAAUCUUUCUACUGGUUACUUGAAUUUGAUGUAGUUAAUACAUUAACCAUCUGGUGCCUCUGCUUAUCAUAACCAGCCAACGUAUUUUGCAUAUUUUGUAACCAUUUUAUCAUUAAUAUGCAAUAAAAUCCCAGAUUUUAUACCUUUGAAGACCAUCUCUGUUUGUUUACACUAACCCAGUCAGCUAUUUAGUGCUGUGUGUUUUGUCUUUUAGUGCUGUUUCUGACACACAGUGUGGCUCAGAUCUGAAAGUAUCUGCAUGCAGCUCAAUGGUUGUGGUAAAUAAAGAUCAUUGUUGUAGAUAAUUCAAAACCCCUGAAGUAGCUAAAAGUUAUAUAGGCUAAGAAAACUUUGAUUCCUAGCCACAGAAAUGUGCCAGAAACAGUUCCUCUCAGUUAAAACUUACAUUGGCCGUGAAUGGGUUACGAUAAUAUAAAACAAAAAAAUAUAUGUAUACCACCACUGUGGAACGUCCAAUAUAUGCAAAGCUCACACUUCAUCACUGUGUAUUAACAUUUAACAGCUUGUAAUAAUACACAUUUUGUUUCUGGUUGUGUUUUCAAAACGUUGUGCAAGUUUGCUUAUGGUUAGUGAGUGACCUAACCUCACAGGCAGGUGUCCCCCACCCCCCGAACUGAACAGCAGGUGAAGCUGAAGGCACUAGGAGUCUUUCUGCAUGAUUGCUUUUGGGUUGAACAGUGCUAUCACUGAACAUUUCUUGCACUGAAUUUAGACUAAUCUUUGAGCAUGCUUAUGGCGUACAGCUUGGAAGCCUGACACACAAAAGUCACUCAUUAGCUCGUCUGGACUGCACUUUGUAGAGUGUUAAUUGCAUAAUUUAAUAAGGGUCAAGAGGGAAGCAAAAAAUGCACAAGAUUAACCGUUAAAAUCUGCAGGGUAGCAAGUUGUGUGGAAAGCUUGGUCAUGUAAGCUAUUUGGGGCUUAUGGUACAGCAUGUCGCCAACAUCGCUCGGCUCCAUUUGCCACGCUAACCUGUGCAGGUUACAUCAGCUUCUCAUCUCUCAGAUUGUGACAGGUAAAGCUGUACAUCCUGAAAUGGUUUCCUUAUUUAGCUGUAAGAGACCUUAGUUUUUAAAGUAGUUUUUUUAUGUCCAGCAAAAUUAAAGUGCCUGUUUCACUUUUUGAUAAUUUCUUUUCUUUUUACACUAGCUAGUUGAGCUAGCAUUGUUGCUAUUUGGAACUUCUGUCUGUAGAUAACUGCAGAUUUACCUCGUGUGUGCCCUGUCUUCCUAAAAUAAGUGCCUUUCAAGAUUAAUCAGCUUAACACAAAGUUAACAUCGUGUUCCCCAUCAGCUUUUUUGAUGGAUUUUUUUCUCUUGUUUUUUUUUUACAAGCUUUUCCAGGGUAAUCGUAAAGAUCAUUGAGACCUUUUUGUGAGUGAAGCAUUUUCGUAUGUGAAGAAUUAAGACAUAAUUACUGCUUUGGCCACUUUUCUUAUUUGUGGCUGUUCUUGGGGCAUAAUUUAUGAUGCAUCCUCAGGAAGCUGUUGACAUUUGGCAAGAUUGUAUUACAAGCAUUUCAUCAUUUCUGAUGGAUAUUUCAGGAAGGAGUUUGCCACACUUUUGUCUUUGGGAUCAUGUUGUUGAAGUUUUAACACAAACCUGUUUUUCAUGGUUUGAAUUGGCAGCAAGUUUCACAGACUUAGCAAAGUAAUUAAAAAAACCACAUUCUGAAAAUCUUUAUAUCAAAACAUUGUCACCCUAUAUUCCUUAACCCCCAUCCUCUCCUGUUAUUAAGCCACACAAAUUCUCUUAUAUAAAUUUGAUUACCCCGCCCCCCCCCCCCUAAUUAUAAAAGCAAUUAUAUGAAUCUUUACUGGUGCAUACUCUCUCUUAAUUGAACAAAACAUUGUUUUAUUAGGAUAUGUAAAUCAUACUUGCAAGCAGAGAUAAAAAAACAAGAUUGAUAAAGUUUGUAGUUUUUGCAGUCAACUAGGUGAUCCGGAAAGAUUUUACUUCAAUACCUUGAAUUAACUGUUUAGUUAACGUCUUUAACAGUUAUAAAACAUAUUCCCUUCCUCUUUCUUGACCAAAUAAAAAUGAAAAUGUCCAUCAUUUCUUCCCCGUCUCCUUCAGCCCAAAUUUUUAUUGCAUUGCAAAAAUGUCAGUCUUGCCAGUUCUCAAAGUUCUGUUUUGCGUUGUGCAAGAGUUUUUUAUGUUAACUCUUAUUUGCUCAAUUGCUCAAGUUGUUGAAAAACAAACUCGAAAACUUCAUUUAAAAAAAAAAUAUUUCAUGUAAGAAACGUGGAUGCGAAGGAGGAGGGCUUUGUACUUAACUAUGAAUUUCGACUUUGGCUUCAUUUUGUGGAGUGAGCUUGUAAUCAUUAGCUAAGAACCAUGACAUAAAAGAAGUGUAGCAGCAUGUUCAUGAUUACAACUAGCUUGGAAGCCGUCUUUGUGAUUAUGUCCCUGAUGUUGCUAUGCCGGUCAUCUCAGCCUCAUCCCCAACCUCAAUGAAUGUGUAGAAGUAAAUCUCCCUUCUGUAUUUUAUUGUGUAUUUUUUUUUUUUUUUUUAAUUGGUACCAUUCAAGUGUUGAUUUGCUACUCAAGUGUUGUGUGUCGUCGUCCGAGCACCUCGGUGGCAGGGGUGACAUGAUCUGUGACACGUUUACCAAUAAAAGCAAGUAUUGUUGCAUGUCCUGCUUUUUACCCUGUCGCAAAGAAGGAGCUUCAAAAAACAGUUAAUAAAGGUUUACUGUCCUACAAAGA